rnacentral:rRNA from 1 species
GUUCAGAGUACGUGAAACCGUUCAGGGGUACACCUAAGAAACCCAAAAGAUCGAACGGGGAGAUUCAUCGUCAGCGAAACUGGCUUCGCGUCGGUUAGCGAUAACUCCGCGGCGUAUUCUAAGCGGCACGCGCGCGCGGGCACGGUACCGUGCGUUGAUGUCCGGUUUUUGUCGUCGUGCACUUCUCCCCUAGUAAAACGUCGCGACCCGCUGGAUGUAGGUCAACGGCCCAAGUGCGGUGACUGUCGCGUCGCCCGUAAAAACGGCGCGCGACAAACCUUCGGUCGCCCGACCGGUCUGCCCGGCGGUACACGCACGGUAUAAGGCCGCACCAACGGUGCGUCGAGAAGUAGUCGGGCACGCGCCACGGUUUAAAAAUCGGCGGUAACGGACUUGGCGCCGUCCUCGAUCCUAGCGCGUUCGCGCCGCACGUGUCCAAAGUAGACCUUCGACUGGCCUUGCGAACGUUCCGCGCGCGCUUGCGCAAGCGGGACCGAUACCGGUCGGCGACGCUACUGCUUUGGGUACUCUUAGGACCCGUCUUGAAAA